CUUUAAUUAUAAAUAAAAGUUUGUACCAUGGAUGUAUACUUUUAGCACUAUUCAGAGAGUGCUGUGAUUAUGAUAUGCUUGAUACUAAUUUUUUUUCUUAAAUUUAUUUAAAUUACACACAGUAAAGUUCGGAGUUUUGACAAAUGCAAAGUCACGUAACCACCACCACAAUUAAAAUUCAGCACAGUUUCAACAUCCCAAAACAUUCCCUAGAGCUGUCCUUUGAAGUUAAAUCCUUCCCAUCUCCAGUGCUUGACAACCAGUGAGUGGUCUGUUCUUUGAUGCUAUAAUUUUGACUUUACCAGAAUGUUGUAUAAGUAAAAUCUCAUAUACAUUGUGUAGUGUUUUGAGUCUGGCUUCAUAAGUGUAGUAUAUUGCAUUUGAGAGUCAUCUGUGCUGCUGUGUGUAUAAUAAAUAGGUCCUUCCUUUUAAUAUCUGUGUAGUACCAUUUUAUGGUUGUACCCCACAGAUGGUUUAUCCAUUUACCUCUUGAAAGACAUUUGGCUUUGCAGUUUUGGUGAUUAUGACCAGAGUUGCAAUAAACAUUAGUAUAUAGAUUUCUGUGUAAAUAUGUAUUUUCAUUUCUUCUGCAAUUGUUAGAGAAAAGUCUGACGGGGCACCUGGGUGGCUCAGUCUUUAAGCGUCUGCCUUCUGCUCAGGUCAUAAUCCCAGAGUCCUGGGAUUGAGCCUUGCAUGGGGCUCCCUGCUGGGUGGAAAGCCUGCUUCUCCCACUCCCCCUGCUUCUGUUCUCUCUCUUGCUGUUUUUCUCUCUGUCAAAUAAAUAAAAUCUUUACAAAAAAAAAAAAAA